rfam:Triticum aestivum genome assembly, contig: Triticum_aestivum_CS42_TGACv1_scaffold_393246_5AS
AGAGCACUCCCUUCAUUUGGAAUUACUUGUCACAGAAAUGGAUGUAUCUAGACGUAUUUUAGUUCUAGAUACAUCCAUUUUUGAGACAAGUAAUUCCGAACAGAGGGAGUAGAUA